GAUGAAGAACGUAGCGAAAUGCGAUAAGUAGUGUGAAUUGCAGAAUUCAGUGAAUCAUCGAAUCUUUGAACGCACAUUGCGCCCCUUGGUAUUCCAUGGGGCAUGCCUGUUCGAGCGUCAUUUGUACCAUCAAGCUCUGCUUGGUGUUGGGUGUUUGUCUCGCCUCUGCGUGUAGACUCGCCUCAAAACAAUUGGCAGCCGGCGUAUUGAUUUCGGAGCGCAGUACAUCUCGCGCUUUGCACUCAUAACGACGACGUCCAAAAGUACAUUUUUACACUCUUGACCUCGGAUCAGGUAGGGAUACCCGCUGAACUUAAGCAUAUCAAUAACGGAGGA
rnacentral:misc_RNA from 1 species